rnacentral:rRNA from 1 species
AGAAUCAACGCUGGCGGCGUGCCUAACACAUGCAAGUCGAACGCGAAAGGGGAGCAAUCCCUGAUUAGAGUGGCAAACGGGUGAGUAACACGUGGGUGACCUGCCUUCGAGUGGGGGAUAACCUUCCGAAAGGAGGGCUAAUACCGCAUGACAUACCGUGUUUGGAUACAUGGAUAUCAAAGCCGGGGAUCGCAAGACCUGGCGCUUGAAGAGGGGCCCGCGUCCGAUUAGCUAGUUGGUGGGGUAACGGCUCACCAAGGCUCCGAUC